AAAUGUCCUCGGGGCAGGGUGAAAUUCCCGACCGGCGGUGAAAGCCCGCGAGCCCUUAAUAGGGUUGAUCCGGUGGAAUUCCGGAGCCGACGGUAAAAGUCCGGAUGGGAGAGGACAAGC
rnacentral:ncRNA from 2 species